rnacentral:misc_RNA from 1 species
UCGUAACAAGGUUUCCGUAGGUGAACCUGCGGAAGGAUCAUUACUGAUUUGCUUAAUUGCACCACAUGUGUUUUUCUUUGAAACAAACUUGCUUUGGCGGUGGGCCCAGCCUGCCGCCAGAGGUCUAAACUUACAACCAAUUUUUUAUCAACUUGUCACACCAGAUUAUUACUUAAUAGUCAAAACUUUCAACAACGGAUCUCUUGGUUCUCGCAUCGAUGAAGAACGCAGCGAAAUGCGAUACGUAAUAUGAAUUGCAGAUAUUCGUGAAUCAUCGAAUCUUUGAACGCACAUUGCGCCCUCUGGUAUUCCGGAGGGCAUGCCUGUUUGAGCGUCGUUUCUCCCUCAAACCGCUGGGUUUGGUGUUGAGCAAUACGACUUGGGUUUGCUUGAAAGACGGUAGUGGUAAGGCGGGAUCGCUUUGACAAUGGCUUAGGUCUAACCAAAAACAUUGCUUGCGGCGGUAACGUCUACCACGUAUAUCUUCAAACUUUGACCUCAAAUCAGGUAGGACUACCCGCUGAACUUAAGCAUAUCA